AUGCGGGGCCCCGGCGGGGCCGCGUCGCGCUCGCCCCUGGGCCUGUGCACCCUGGUGCUUGCGCUGCUGGGCGCGCUGCCCGCCGGCGCCGGGGCGCAGCCUUACCACGGCGAGAAGGGCAUCUCAGUGCCGGACCACGGCUUCUGCCAGCCCAUCUCCAUCCCGCUGUGCACGGACAUUGCCUACAACCAGACCAUCCUGCCCAACCUGCUAGGCCACACGAAUCAAGAGGACGCGGGCCUCGAGGUGCACCAGUUCUACCCGCUGGUGAAGGUGCAGUGUUCUCCCGAACUACGCUUCUUCCUGUGCUCCAUGUACGCACCCGUGUGCACGGUGCUGGAUCAGGCCAUACCGCCGUGCCGCUCUCUGUGCGAGCGUGCCCGCCAGGGAUGUGAAGCGCUCAUGAACAAGUUCGGCUUCCAGUGGCCCGAGCGGCUGCGCUGCGAGAACUUCCCGGUGCACGGCGCCGGCGAGAUCUGCGUGGGCCAGAACACGUCCGACGGCUCCGGGGGCCCAGGCGGCGGCCCCACAGCCUACCCCACCGCGCCUUAUCUGCCGGACCUGCCCUACACCGCGUUGCCCCCGGGGGCCGCUGACGGCAGGGGCCGCUCUGCCUUCCCCUUCUCAUGCCCCCGCCAGCUCAAGGUGCCCCCCUACCUGGGCUACCGCUUCCUGGGCGAGCGCGACUGCGGCGCCCCGUGCGAGCCAGGCCGUGCCAACGGCCUCAUGUACUUUAAGGAGGAAGAGAGGCGCUUUGCUCGUCUCUGGGUGGGCGUGUGGUCAGUGCUGUGCUGCGCCUCGACGCUCUUCACCGUGCUCACCUAUUUAGUGGACAUGCGGCGCUUCAGCUAUCCGGAGCGGCCCAUCAUCUUCCUGUCGGGCUGCUACUUCAUGGUGGCCGUGGCGCACGUGGCCGGCUUCCUGCUGGAGGACCGCGCGGUGUGCGUGGAGCGCUUCUCAGACGAUGGCUACCGCACGGUGGCGCAGGGCACCAAGAAGGAGGGUUGCACCAUCCUCUUCAUGGUGCUGUACUUCUUCGGCAUGGCCAGUUCCAUCUGGUGGGUCAUCCUGUCGCUCACUUGGUUCCUGGCAGCCGGCAUGAAGUGGGGCCAUGAGGCCAUCGAAGCCAACUCGCAGUACUUCCACCUGGCCGCGUGGGCCGUGCCCGCUGUCAAGACCAUCACCAUCCUGGCCAUGGGCCAGGUGGAUGGGGACCUGCUCAGUGGGGUGUGCUACGUGGGCCUGUCCAGCGUGGAUGCCCUGCGGGGCUUCGUGCUGGCGCCUCUGUUCGUCUACCUCUUCAUUGGCACGUCCUUCCUGCUGGCCGGCUUCGUGUCGCUCUUCCGCAUCCGCACCAUCAUGAAGCACGACGGCACCAAGACCGAGAAGCUGGAGAAGCUCAUGGUGCGCAUCGGCGUCUUCAGCGUGCUCUACACCGUGCCCGCCACCAUUGUCCUGGCCUGCUACUUCUAUGAGCAGGCCUUCCGCGAGCACUGGGAGCGCACCUGGCUCAUGCAGACGUGCAAGAGCUACGCGGUGCCCUGCCCGCCUGGCCACUUCCCGCCCAUGAGCCCCGACUUCACUGUCUUCAUGAUAAAGUACCUGAUGACCAUGAUCGUGGGCAUCACCACCGGCUUCUGGAUCUGGUCCGGCAAGACUCUGCAGUCGUGGCGCCGCUUCUACCACAGACUCAGCCACAGCAGCAAGGGGGAGACUGCGGUAUGAGCCCCGGCCCCUCCCCCACCGUCCCUUCCCCCAUCCCCUAGCAGGGGGAGAGGCGCGGGAAGGAGAGAACUGCGCGGGGGGGGGGGGGGGUCCUGUAACCUCCGUCCCCUUCAAUGAGAAGUGACCUGGAAGAGAGAUUAUAUUUGUAGAUUUGGGGCCAGGAGUGGGUUUGGAAAAGGAGGCCCGGGUGGAAAGACGGUUCGGAUGAAAAGACUUAAUGGCAAAGACUUGCAGGAUGUUAUUGAUGGUGAUGGUAACGAUGAUGUUAAUCGUGUACGGUACGGGCCCACCUGGGCCUAUCGCGAUUGAGCCCAGCAGAGAUGGCUCUGAGUUCUUCCCGGCUCCAGGGCCAAACUGGGACUGUGAGCGAUGCCCCUGCUGCAAGACAAGUGGCCUGUCCUCACUCCUGUGAGGCCCGGGUGAAAGGUACAGCUUUGUCUGCGGCGGCGGCUUUGUUGGGAAAAGGGAGGACUCCCUGCGGUGUCCUUGUCAAGCGGUGGUCAAACCAUAAUCUCUUUUCACUGGGGCCAAACUGGAGCCCAGAUGGGUUAAUUUCCAGGGUCAGACAUUACAGUCUCUCCUCCCCUGGCCCCUCCCGCCUGUUUUUCCUCUCCUAGUCCUUUCAAGUCUUGUAAAAUAAGCAUUUGGAAGUCUUGGGAGGCCUGCCUCCUAGAAUCUUAAUGUAAGGAUGCAAAAGAAAUGAAGAUAACAUUUCGAGAGGAGGCAAAGGAGAUGGGUAGUAGGUAUUUCUGCUACUUUUUUUUUUUUCCCCCUCGGGAAGGCAGAAGGAAGGAGGUUUUAUUUGGUUUAAUACUCUGAAAAGAAGUGAUGACUUGUUGCUUUUCAAAACAGGAGUGCAUUUUUCCCCUGGUCUUUGUUAUAAGAGACAAAAGAGGAAACAAAGUGUCUCCCCUGUGGAAAGGCAUAACUGUGAAGACAGCAACUUUUAUAGGCAAAGUAGCACAAAUCAGAGCUUUUCCUUUGGAUGUUAAUUUGGCUGAAAUAAACAUUCCUUUUUAAGGAAAAGUGAACAGCAGCAUGCUUCCAUACCCCCAAUCAGUCAGAGGUUCUGACUUGGCUAAAGGAAACUCAAGGGGGUUUUGUUGUAUUUGUUUAAAAUAAAUUUUAAUUUAGAACAAACGAUCCUAUCUACAGGCUCUGUUCAAAUGUUCAGAGGAACUUCUUCCUUUAUUAUUUUUUAUGAACCUGCAUUUAGGUUUUCUAUUUUCUUCCAAUUUGAAUCCUUCAAGAUAAAAGGAAAAGCAUAAUGCCCUCAGCCUCCAUAAUAAAGAAGGUGGGGAGGUGACCUACAGAAAUGACAGUGAAUGAAGCGGACAGUUCAAACCGUGGGUCCCAUUUUUUAAGGAAAGUCAUUAAAAGAAGGUAAACUUCAAAGUAAUUCUGGAGUUCUUUGAAAUGUGCUGCAUGACUUAAAUUUAUUAAUCUUAAAUCAUGUAGUUUUUUUUUCUAUAAUGGAACUGAUUCCUUUGCAUAAUGCUCUAAAGCUGAGCAGAGAAUCAUGGGAGCUAACCUUUCCUCCACCUUUGACAUCACCCUCCAAUCUUGCAACACUAUCCUGUUUCUCAAAACAAUUUUUAAAUGCUGUUUUAAACAGUUUUUAAAUCCUAGAGGGUACUGUCAGAAGUACAAGUUAUUUUAUAUAUGUAAUGUUCAGUUGAGUGGAGCUGCUUUUUAUAUUAAAGUUAACAUCAACCUUGCGUUUCUUAAACCUCCAAAAGGGUCUCAUCUGUCAGAUUUUAAAACUCCCACUACACAGUUUUUGGCAUCUUUUGUGUUGUAUCUCUUGCAUGUGAAAUUUGUAAAAUAGAGACAAGUGCAGUAUGUAUAUUUUGUAAAUCUCCCAUUUUUGUAAGAAAAUAUAUAUUGUAUUUAUACAUUUUUACUUUUGGGUUUUUGUUUUGUUUUCGCCUUUCAAAGUCUACAAGGAAGCCUCACUUUAUCACAUGUACAGAUCACAAAAUAAAUUUUUUUAAUACAAA